CUGCCGCGCUGCGGCAACGUCGUACGCGUCUUUGUCCAGUAUGAAGCUGACGCUCGCGUGUCGCGGAAAAUUCCACAACGAAGUGAAGAACGCAGGGAAAGAGAGAAACGGGAGCGAAGGAAAGAGCGAAACAGAAAAAGAAAAAAAAAUCACCCUUACUCGUGUAACAAGACAGAACGCGUAGUGAAAAAUGCUGCUAACGGAUAAAAAAAAACCAUAGAAAGAGAAAAGAGACGUUAAAGCGCAUCGGUCAGUGGUAAAGCCGGUGGCGGUGGGGGCGCGGAGUACGCUCUCUUGCGGUAGGUGCGCCAAGCGUCAGUAUCAAUAUGGCCGUAGAUGUGAACGCAUUGCGCGCAGAGACGCGGACGCGAUAGUAGUCAGUUCGCUCUCACUAAAACAUGAGGUAUGCUACGAGCAAGGACGUUUUUACGUAAUACCCGGAUUUGAACGGACGUAUUCGCAAAAUGAAUUGCGCCACGCCAGAAGCGGCGACAACCGCGAGCGGCAAACAGAUCGGUACGGUACAAGAUGUAAAAACCGCAAUGUUCAAUGAAGAAGAAUCUAAACUAAUCAAUGACGAAGCAAAAUCAACAAUUACAGAAUUUUUUCCAUGGGUCUCAGAAUUUAAAAAAAUGUGCAAAUGUAUAUAUACAGAUAAAAGUAUGGCUUCCUUAGCAGAGCUUAUGCAGUACUAUAUCAGAAAUAUGAGUAUAAGUGUAAAUAAAUGUUCUAUAAAGCCUUUAAAGGCAGCAAAGUUAAAGGAUUAUAUUAGUGAAACUUUACUUUUGUUCUUAUAUAUGUAUCGUGAACUUUCUGAGGACCGUAAUAGAUCUAUUUAUUUAAAUAAUAUGUCCGAUUUAUUGGCANUAUACAUAGAUGUGGAAUUAAAAGCUUCAAAGAAAAAUACUGAGGAUCAUAAUGAAAUUUGUACAAGGCUUACGUCUUGUCUUUAUGUAUAUUUAGAACAUUCCACAGAGCAUUUAUUAGAUACUUUAAUAAAAAUACAAUUUAUGUGUCGGAAUUAUCAUCAUAUUUUAGAUCCAAUAAUAACAAAAGUAACUAAAACUAUUCCAGCACAUCCCAAAUCAAAUGUUAUGUACGUUCGUUAUCUUCUUAUUUAUUGUUUGUGGAGAAAAAUAAAUAUCGAUAUGAUCGUAAGAAAAGAAAUUACUACAACCGCAAUUGCCUCUUUGGGAAUACCACCACCUACUUUCCCACCAUAUUCGUUAGAAGAUGUAUUACCGAAAGUGCCAAAGUGUCAACCACCUUCUGCAAAACAUCUGAUGCAUCAUAAAUUUAACAUAAGAAAAUGCUGCGAAUUAUUUAUACAGUUCUGUAAAAANAAUAGAGGUGAUAUACGGCAAGAAAAAAGUGAAAAUGCAACUACUAUUCCAAGCUCAUCCAAGAGACCAACAUCACAACUGCUGGAGAUUACACCACGCGAAAAUGAAAAUACGAAUCAUAUUGAAAAUAAGUGUAAUCUUAUUUCUUCAGAUAAGAAUAUAGAAAGUAACCGUAUUUCAUCAGAUAAUUUAAAAUCCUCGAGUUUAAACAAACAAAUAAAUAUUAAGCCGUUAGGCACAAUUUCUACAAAUAUUUCUGUCACACGGACUAUUUCUAAGUCAAUAAAACCGAAAGUUCUUUCGCGAAAAAAAAGUAAAUCCACAAAAAUUGUAUUAAUUGAUCUCACAAGUGACACUGUUUUCGAACGACACAUAGCGAGAAGAAAAUCAAGAAAAGUUGCAUGGCUCGAAGAAGCGAAGAAGCUCGACGCAAAGACGAUAAGAGCGUCGCAGAAGAUGAAGAAGCAACAAGUGGCGAAAAAUAUGAACUGGUCGAAAAACUCCAUUUUUGAACAACGGUCGGAAGACUUGAUUCAACCUACGUGUACUGCAGAGAAUGCAUUCUCGAAGAAUGAUUUGAAAUCAUCCGCAACGUGGGAUAUGAAGACAGAUAACGAUAAAAUAAAAUCCAAGGAAUAUUUUGAAACAGAGCAUACAGUAUCUGCAAAACAAUCAGUGGAUACAAACAGCAGUGGCAAAAAUGACAUUGUAAUACCUUACACACUUUCUUCUGUAAUCGUUAAUAAACCACAGUCUAAUAAAUGUAAAACCUCUACAAAUUCGCUAUUGAACGUUUCGAAUAAUACUGAUAACAUUAAUAAAUAUCACGAAGCUAGGGAUAGAAUCAAUGAUGAAACAUUUAAUAAUAGACACACACAGACUGUGAUUAAACGACUGAUAGAACAAGACGCUUUCCCUGAAAGUGAAACAUAUAAAAAAAAUGAAAGUUUAAAGAAAAUCUGUGAUUUAGAAACAGAGGACUGUAAAACUGUAAAUACUUCUCUCGCAAUAUGUAUCCAAGAUAAUUCCAAAGAUGAAGCAUAUAACGCUACCUAUCUUAGUACAACUAAAGAUAAAUUAUCUCCGUCUCUGAUACAUAUGCUCUGGAACAAUGAAAAGAAUGGAACAAUCAAUGAAAAAACGGAUGAUAUCGGUGAUAAUGAAAAAUGUACGCAAGAAAAUAUUCAUAGUAAAAGUAACGAAGUACGAUAUUCAAAGUCAAUCAGAGUUGAUAGUGAAUUAAGUGAAAAUAAAUUGGCAAUUUCUACAGCGGCUAAAACUCGUAUUGUGACAGUAAGUAGUACAGAAGUAUCGGUAAAUAAUAUGAUGGAAUCCGAUCGAUUACAACAACUGCACAUUAUUAAAAAUAUACCAAAAGAGGUUGAAUCACAGGAUGAAUAUGUAUCAGUGAAAAAAGGUAUUGCAAAUUUUAAUGUAACAAACGGAGAUCAUUCUAAUGUACAAACAGAUUUACAUGUCGAUACUUGCAUCGAAAUAAAUGAUGUAAAUGAUAGCAAAUUCUCUAAUCGUGAUAUUAGAGAAAAUAUUUUUGAAGAUCUCACAGCUGAUAAAAAACCUAUUUCUAAUAUCUCCGACGCAUCACUGUGUUCAAGCAAAACAGGAGCUACUAAUGAAAAUGAUAUCGAAAAUAUAAAAACUGAUCGUCAAAAAAGCUCAGAAAUCGGUUCGAACAGAAAGUGUAAUAAAGAAUACACCAUAGAAGAACAAAGAAGAUAUAUGUUAAGCGCAAAAGUUGAAAAAGAUAGUGUUGAGCGAACAUUCGAUUGUAAAUUAUUAAAAAGUCCACAAAAAAUUUUACACGCAAAUAUUCAAGAUUCAUUGGGAACUAGUUGUAUCAUUCAUGAUUCAGAGUUACCCGGAAAUAUAGACGGGCUGUCAUUACUAGCGAAUGUUGUUACGAGUCAACAUGGUCCUCAUUCGAAAAUGGAGCAUGAGUUAAAAAUCGAUCAAAUUAAGGUUAAAGAUUACGCUUCAUUGAGAAGUUCUCCUUAUAAUCAAAACACCGAUGAUGAAACUGAUACUAACGAUUCGUUAAAUGCGGUUUCGCGGAUUUUAGAGAAUUCAACUACCGAAGUAAUGAAUAGAAUAGUUGGGAUUUAUCCGGACGACGCAUUAGGCAAAGUAGCGCAUCACAUUGAAGUAACAUCAACGACUGAUAUGAAUCACGAUGGCGAACACGAAUCAAGCAAUAACAUACCGCACAUUGUUCAUACUAGUAUAAAUUAUGAAACAGACACGGUGUCCAACAACAUAAAUAUAACAGAAAGCAAUGUGCAGUCAAAGGAAAACACUAACGUUAUAUUGAACGGAGAAACAGUUGUGCUUUUGCAAAAGUCUCCUAAUAGUAAUCUGUACAUUAUUAAUAAAGCAGUAGAAAAUGCGCGAGAUCACAACGGUGAAGACGAAAGUUGUCCAGUUAGGGAGAAGAGCUGGAUGAUUCCACCGGAAGAUUGCGCAUCGUUCGAGGUUGUUAACGCUUCGGAACAUAUACCGUUUAACUUGGAAAUAUCGCAAUACAACAAAGAUCUCACGUGUCAAGAAAAAAAGUUUUCUAUCAGUAGAACCAAAGGUAUCAAAAUCGAGCCCGAAGAGGAAACCAAAUUGAUGACUAUUGCGGAAAUGAAGUCUUACAGUAAGAAAGGCUCUCUAUCGUCCGAAGUGAUAUCCGCAACGUCACCGAUAUAUCAGGAUACAAAUGUGGCAAAUGUGAGCAUCAACAAGUCGACCGACAAGCGAAAAUCUAAAUCUAUCCUUACUUACAGACAGAACAUCAAGCAGGAAUUUAAUAAUCAUGUUACACCAAAUUGUGGAAUACAAGGAUGCAACGGGAUUCAUUCGCAUUCCCAUGAAGUAAUCGACUCGCAGCAUUCGUUACAUAUUCCAGUCACUCAUCCCCCGCCAAUAUCUUCAAUUUAUGGGAAUUGCACCGCCGGCACAGAUCUAUGUAUGCCAUAUCACAAGCACUGCACUUCCGUGUCGUGCAGUUUGAAAAUUAAUUCCACUGCUUCGCUCCAUUCCCAUACGAAAACCGUCAAUUCCUGCGGAAGAUCGCACUGUUCUUGUUUAGAUUGUCGUACGUAUGACAUAGUUACGCACUGUAGACAGUACAUACACCCUGCCAGAGACUCCCACGUGUCUUGCAUUGAAAGUAAUUCUUAUUUUUUGCCCGCGCAUUCGUCAGUACAAACAUCCGCCGUCNAAGAACACGAUAGGACAAAAAGCGAAGCGGUAAUCAGUAAAUUGUAUGACGAUCAAAUAUUAUGUAAAAUAGAGCAAAGAGUAUCGCUACAAAAAAAUAACACGUUGGAAAAGCUGGAUAUGCAACGUGAGCCGGAAAAGUUAUUUAAGAAAGACAUGGACAAGUUNCCCCUAAAAAAGAGACUGAAAGCUCAUGCCAUGAUGUCUAUGGCGUACGAGGAACUACCUAUUAAAACGGAAAAAUUGGAUAACUAUCCUGGAAUACCUAUGAUGUCUAUAGCAGCCCUAGAACCGCUAGCUGAUGCACAGAAGCAUUCCUCACAAAUUAUUAAAUCAUCGUACGAACUAUUUUCCAACAAAGAAGAUAGAUCUCAUGGUUAUCAUUUCAACUCUAAUAUAGUACGAAGGGAUUAUUACAAAGAUAUGCACAUUUCUAAUUCGCGUCAUAAUCUUACGAAAGAGAGUCACGAGCGUCCGUUUCGACCGAAUGGUGAUCAGUCUAACGCGAUGUGCCUGGAAACAUGUCAAGAAAGGACAUUUAAGACGCCCGCACAGUGCAGAGACGUGUCGGUAACAAAUUCGACAUCUCUGAAACGUAUGGAAGCAGAUACGAUGGAGCAAGAUAAUACGUGUAAAAAAGCAAAAAAAACGCAGUCAUCUAUUAGACAAACGAGAAGCUCAAAGAGAAACGUUCCUAAGGUAAAUUAUUGUUACACCGAUGUUGAUCCAGAAUGGAAUCCGUCCGGUGAGUCAAAACGAAGACGUAAGAAAACUAGUCGAUGAUCAAUACUAUUUCAUUACCAGAAGUCACUGCUGUAAAAAAAACUUGUACAGUGGACAAAUGUGUUCUUCAAGCUGUGUGACACUGUAAAUUUGUAAAUAUACAAUGUACAAAACAGAAGUGAAAAUCACUCGUCCUANGAAGAUAGACCGUUCAGCGUGUUCAAGAAUUUGCGUCAGUAAAGAAGAUAGAUUAGCUAGAAGCGUAGGAGGACUCUUGCAUAAAAUAUUUUUGAUGUUUGGUUAGAUAACGCUAAUGACAAGUUGUAGAGAGUUUUAUUCUGUUAAAUAUAUCAUCUCUACCUUGCGAUAGUGCACAUUUUAUAUACGUAUAUAUAUAUAUAUAUAUAUACAUAUAUAUGUAAAGCUUUUGUAAGAUAUUUAAAGUUUAAUGUUUUUCUACGUGUGGUGGUUAGAGCAAUUGUUUGUCACAAUCUGUAUAAUUUCUCUUGAGUNUAAAAGUCUUUUAAAUUCUUUGUAAAAUAAGAUCAUACAGCUUUUUCUGUACGGUGUUUCAUAUGAAUGUGUGUACACAUGUACAUAUACACAACCAAUGCCAAAAACGUAACAUAUAGAAAUGUAUUUUAUUUAGAAUAUCAUUUUUAAGUUUCAAGAAGAAGAAGAUAAAUUUAAAUUAAUCAUAGGAUUGUAAUACUACGAGGUUGAAGAUUUGAAAGUUAAGAGUUAUAUGAAAGCUAAUUUUUCCGAUGAGGAUACACCAGGAUCGUGUUUGCAUAGGCUUUUGAUACGCAUCGUUUUUAUCAAGAUAAAAAUACGAAGAUUCGGGCGUAAAAUACUGAAAAUACUGAAAAUGUUGAAUUUGUUCAAAAUAUUCUUGUAAUUUAUUAUUUAUUUUCUUUCUUAUAUAGCGCUGUAUUAUAUUAGGAAAGAAAGCUUUAUGCUAUAAAUACUUACACCCCCCAUACACACACACACACACACAACCUUACAUAUGUAUAUAUAUACAGGUAUCUAUCGGAACACAGAAUAGCUAGAUAGCCGAUUCACAUAAUAACAAGAAACUUUACGUUCCAUUGAAAAAAAGGAAGAGAUAAUAUUAUAUGCUACGUAAAAUUGAAAGUAAUCUGUAUAUAUAUAUUUUUCUUGUAACAAACAUAACAUACACACACACACACACAAAUGUCCGUCUUUUGUUAAAGUACGAGCUACGUAAAGAUGAAAAAAAACGAGUAAUAUGACUUAAUCGAACUUGAAAUAAAUAAAAAUGAAGACAUCCAAAGGAAAAUUGCACAACUUAAAUGUCGUUCAGUUACUAAACUAGGAAAGCUUUACAACUAGCAUCCUAUAGCUUGUUCCUUUACAUAAUUACAGUAUUUCAAUUCACUAUAUAUAUGUAUGAUCUUGUUUUAAAAUUGCUUAAUACACACAUACACACACAUGACGUUUUCUUAAAUUAUAUAACAAAAUUUUUUCACCAUGCUUGCAUGUAUAAAUUACGAUACACAUGUUUAAAAGACCAAAUGAUAUACUUUGUUAAGUGCUGUAUAUUAUACUAUGUAAAUAAUUCUCAUUGAAAACAUUGCUCAUGCUUAUUAUUAAAUUGUGUAUUUAUAUCCUAUGUUAAUGAUUUUAGAAUAUCAAAUCUAUCACUUUCUAUUAAAUUUCGUGUUUUUGUUAUUUGUAUCUGAUCUGUAUGUAAACAAAUAGAGUCAUUAUUGCAGUCUCUUGUGGUAAACCUGAAACCAGUCAGCAUCAUUGUUCCGAUAAAAAAUUUUUCGAUUAUGUGUUUAUUUAUAUGAGAUAAAUUUUGUUCAAGUAAUGCAUAACUUCAGUGCCAUAUCCUUAUACCUGAUCUCAUAUCUGUGAUCAUUAGCUAAGCUAUAGCUAACAUUUUGUUGUACAAAAAAGAAAUGUACCUUGUUAACGUAGUCUAUUCGAUAGAUUACUUCAUUGUCACACUUGUCAUUAUUGUAUAUGUAUUCAUCUUCGUGAAAACAAUAAGCAUCAGAGAAGCCUAAUCCUAAUUGUAAAAUGCUGUACCUAUUUGUGUUUACUUGAAUAACGCUGUUCUUUUAUUUUCAAGAAUCUUAUAUCACUAUAUUUUCUAUAGUUGACUAAAAAACGCAUUCUUUUUAUUUGUACCGAAUAUUUUUUAUUGUUAUACUAUUUUUAAUUUAUGAUAUGAUAAGUCUCUCUCUCUUCCUCUCUCUUUCUCUGAUAAACUUAAGUUUAACACAAAUAAAUCUAUAAGUUACUAUAGCUAUAAUUAAUUAGUUGAUCAAACUUGCCAAAAGUCUUCAUAUAUGUAGAUCAAAUAUAAAUAGCGAUUAUUAAUCGUAAAUAUAUUAUUGUGUACGCAUAAAAUAUUUAUUAAGGAAAGUCUGACGUAUAAUUAAAGCAUUACUCAAGCUAGUAUGUAGAAAAAUACUUUACUCAGAUGCCUCAUUAAUUCGUGUUCAUAAAAAUAUUCAGUAUUGUGUAUGCGUAGAACAUCUUUUUCGUAAUGAUAAAUAAACCUGUAUUUACCUAUAUUUGUAUAUUAUGUUAUGCAUAUAAAAUGCCAAACGCAUUAAAUAUCGAGGUAAAUAUACUAUGCUGCAUAUAUGUGAAAAAUACUAAAAUAUAUAAUAUAUUUACCUCCAUUAUACUUACGGAAAUUUAUAGAUAUACACUGCUAUUACCGUCGAAAUAAGAAUAAAACAUGUUAUUAGAAACUUUCAACAGGGUAAACGUUGAUAUGCUUUUGAUGCUUGCGCAACGCGCAUCAAGUUUAUGAUAUU